rnacentral:lncRNA from 1 species
GCUCAUUGAUCUUAAUUUAAGUCGAUGGUUUUUUUCUUCUUGUCUUUCAUCUUGUGGUUUGAUUAUGAAUAAGGUAGUUGUUAGUAUGAUUUCUCUUGGAGGUCGUGAAUUAGGAUAGAAGAUUAGUAGGUAGUUGAGCGUUGUCUCGGAUAGGCGUGGUGGUAGGUUGGUGCAUUGUACCUAUUUCCCUGUCUAUAUCAGUAGUCGCAGCACUUGUCCCGUAGUUGCCUGUCUUACGACUUUGGUUAUUCCAAAGGGGAGUUAAGUAUAAGGCUAUGGGGGUUGUGGAUUAGGAUAGAAGGUUUGUAGUUAGUUGAGCGUUGUCUCGGAUAGGCGUGGUGGUAGGUUGGUGUACCUAUUUCCCUGUCUAUACCAGUAGUCGCGACACUUCUCCCGUAAGGUUAUGGGGGUCGUGGAUUAGGGUAGAAGAUUAGUAGAUAGUUGAGUGGUGUCGCGGAUAGGCGUGGUGGUAGGUUGGUGUACCUAUUUCCCUGUCUAUACCAGUAGUCGUAGUACUUGUCCCGUAGUUGCCUGUCUUACAACUUUCGUUACUCCAAAAGGGAGUUAAGUAUAAGGUUAUGGGGGUCGUGGAUUUGGGUAGAAGGUUAGUAGGUAGUUGAGCGUUGUCUCGGAUAGGCGUGGUGGUAGGUUGGUGCAUUAUACCUAUCUAUUUCCCUGUCGAUACCAGUUGUCGCAGCACUUGUCCUGUGGUUGCCUAUCUUACAACUUUGGUUACUACAAAGGGGAGUUAAGUAUAAGGUUAUGGGGGUCGUGGAUUAGGGUAGAAGGUUUGUAGGUAGUUGAGCGUUGUCUCGGAUAGGCGUGGUGGUAGGUUGGUGUACCUAUUUCCUUGUCUAUACCAGU